GCUAAUGAACACAAAUAAUUUGAUUAACAAACUAUCCACCUAUCUUCUGUUCUUUUACUAGAUAUAGCAUUUACCUUUACCAAUAAAAUUUUGACACUAGAUUUUACUCACUUAAAGUCUUAAACUAUAGCCUACCCUUUUUUUCACUUUUUUUGACAACCAUUGUCAUUUACUUCUUUACUUACCAUAACAAAUCAUCCACAAAUUUACAAGUGCUUUCACAAAAAGUCAAAAUAUUGUAUAAGAUAUGUGCUAGUAAUGUUGGCUUGGACUCUGGCAUUGCUACAAGAUUCUUCUCAACAUGCAAG
rnacentral:misc_RNA from 1 species